CCUGUGAAAGGAAGUUCGAAGGCUAUACAUCACAAGAAACACGUCGAACAUCAAAUUCUUCGUUUUCAGGUGGCGUCAUACCAAUUGCGAACACCGGUAUUCAAAAGUUCUGGUGGACAAACAGACUAGGGACCUUAAGCAAAGUCGACGAAAAGGACGACGACGACGACGACGACGACGACGACGACGAAUAUGUCUGCGCGAAGUCUGGGUCGAGACUGUUGUUCACUGGUAAAAAAAGGGCGGGAAAAAGCGAACUUAAGCUGCUCUCGACGUGAACGUGACCGUAAACAAAUGAAAAAAAUUUUUUGAAAUCUCCAGUUUUACCAUUACGGUUUCUUUUCACGAACUUCAGGAGCUUUUUUCUCCUUAGCCACUUCCAUGGAUAUUUAAAUGAUGAAGAACUGUUGCUGUUAUACGAAGAAUACUAUCCAAAAAAUCCAGAUUUUCCUUACGAGAAUUGUGGCAGGUUUUCACUCGAAGACAUGAACGAUUCAGAGGGUGUGGCACAAUUUAGAUUCAGAAUACAUAACCUUUCAUUACUCGCAGAGGUCCUCCAAAUUCCAGAUAGCUUUACGUGCUACCACAGAUCCGGCCAGAAUAAUCGCCUAAACAAAUUUUUUACAACUCUUGAAAUUGAACCUACGUGGUUCAAUUAAAGAAGUGCCUACAAAAAGAAAGAAAAAUAAAGCGAUUUACAAAACGUUACGGCCAAAACUAUGAUGAAAAAAUAUUUCUUGCUAAUUUAGAUGGCAUAUUCCUAAAUUAUUUCGGUUUUCUGGGGACAAAAACUUUCAAACGGAGAAAAAAAUAGCCCAAUGAAUACUCACGUUCACUAGUCGACGUAAAAAUGCACGAUUUUACGUUCUCAACUUCCAGUGGACAACGAGCGGUGGACAGUGGAGUGGCAUCGUGACAUGCGCACUAUCCCUUGAUAAUGUAAAAUUACUUCCGGCUCGUCGUCGUCGUCCUUUUCGUCGACCUCGCUUAAGGUCCAUACUAGGGACUUUAAGAUAUCUGGACCGCUGACCUCGAGGACGGUAAUAUUAGGCGCAGAGGACUGGGCCGAAACCGACGUUCUUGGCGAGAAACUUUCUAGGUUAAGGAGCGGGUUGUUUGAACGGAGGACGGCAGUGAACCUGAAGUUUCUAGCUCUUUUCGUAAAUCAUGGCAUAUUUUAAAAAGACUCGCGAAAUGAUUGUUAUUGCUUACGCAGAAAAGCUACUGACCGACGAAGAGUUCCUGUUUCUGUACGAAGCUAAUAAGCCAGUUAAUUUAGAGCUGCCAUACUACGAGUGCGAAGAAUUUAACUCAUGGCUGAACAUUUAUGAUGAAUAGCAGUAAUUUACGUGAUACAUGGAGUGACCAAAAUAAUUCUGGAAACAGAUGCCAGAAAAUUCAAUUUCAUUCAAGUUUAGUUGACAUAUUCGCCAUCACUGCGAAGCACAGCAAACAAACACUCAUUCGCGAUGGUAUUUUACACUUCAAUUUUUUAACUUUUGUUUAUCAGAACAAGAAAUAACAGUAAGGACAGCCUUUUCAAUUGAAAAAUAAUGAAUUUUAAAAGAAAUGCUCGUCAAAUGUGCUUACGUUCACUUGUGGACGGCAAAUCUCCAAUUCUGAAGUCCUCGACAACAACUGGACGGCAACACGUGUUGUGCAGACAUGCGCAAUACAGUCUACACGUGUAAAAUUACUUCCGGUCAGUAGUCCUCUGAAACAGCCGUCCAGGUAUCUUGAAGUCCCUACUAUCUUCAGGUGGACGAAACAAAGCGCUGAGUCAGAGGUCACCAAUAUUCUUUGUUCUUCUAAACACUUUUUUAAUGGAUUAUCUUUGUGCGGUUAAGAACUGUGGUCAUAAUAGUGUAAGGGACAAAGGGGUGUAUCCAUUUUUUCGACUUCCAGGCAUCGAGAUAUCCCAAGUAGAGGCCAUACACAAACUUUGCAUAGAGUGAAGACGCCUCUGGUUCGUUCGUAUUUUCAGGAUCUGGACGAAAAAGCCAUUGAAAAUACUUGCGUUUGUAGCGAUCACUUUAGAAAAGGGGAACCAGCUUGUUUUAAAUCUGCAACAGACCCAGUUUGGGCACCAUCGUUAAAGCUAGGACAUAACAAUAUUACUGAAAAGGACAUUGAAAAAGCAAUACGUAAUGAUCGGGCAGAACAUCGCGAGACAAAGAAGAGGAAAAUCUAAGAAGAACAAGAAGAAGCAGAGGCUUUGGCUGCUAGAAAUUAAGCGGGAAGACCUGAAGCCGAACGACUAGAGGCUGAAAGACUUGAGGCUGAAAAGGUUUAAUCAGAGCAAAAUAACGCCUCUAAAAUAUCUAUGGACACGUCAGAACCUCAUGUUGUCGAUCAGCAAUGCCAGACAGAUACAACUGGUGAAUUAUUGGACAUGCUGAAUAAGUAUAUGCAUGACUUACAACGACAGCUUAGUAAAAUGAAGAGUCAACUACUGUUUUCAUGUCAAUUUAACGAAGACAGUGUCAGGGAAGAUACUUGGUCCGUAUACUAUUUACCCAUUCCGAUAUGAAGAAAUCAUGAGCAUCCAUUGAUUUCCAAGCCUUCAUUUCUUGCCCGGUUUUCCACGAGGUUUGGAUGACUAGGUAGUUGACAAUAUCGGGAUAUGUAAUACUUGGCUAAUACUUGUAAUACUUGCAAUCCGCUUUUUUUAACAAGUAGGGAUCGAACCCCAAAUAUGUACCUUUUCAUAAUAACUUACCUUCGUAGGACCGUUCAAAGUUGAGUAAUACUCGGAAAGUGAUAUAGAAUUGCAAGAAUUCACAGGCGCAGACGCCAAUUUAUUUUUUUUUUUUUUUU